AUGAGAAGGUCAUGGGUUCAAUUCCCAUCGAAGGCUGCCUUCGUAGCUUAGUGGUAGAGCAUCUCACUAGUA